rnacentral:rRNA from 1 species
GACGAACGCUGGCGGCGUGCUUAACACAUGCAAGUCGAACGGAGUGGCGAACGGGUGAGUAACACGUGGGUGACCUGCCUUGCACUUCGGGAUAAGCUUGGGAAACUGGGUCUAAUACCGGAUAGUGCAAGAUGAGUUCGCGGCCUAUCGGCUUGUUGGUCGGGUAAUGGCAUACGAAGGCAUCGACGGGUAGCCGGCCUGGGAGGGGGUACGGCCACAUUGGGACUGUGGUAGGGCCCAGACGCCUACGGGAGGCAGCAGGGGGGAGUAUUGCGCAAUGGGCGGAAGCGUGAGGCAGCGACGCCGCGUGGGGGAUGAAGGCCUUCGGGUUGUAAACUCCUUUGGACAGGGACGCGGUACCUGUAUAAGAAGCAACGGCUAACUACGUGCCAGCAGCCGCGGUAAUUC